AUCCGAUCACACAAAUUGGAACAGAAUACUUGAUCUCUUGCAAUAAAAUAUACUACAACCUGGAUAUGUACAUGAAUGAUACAGUCAGGUCACAAAUAUUUCAAUCGUUCCGUCUUGAUUCUUUGCUAUCAGCUAAACGCAUGAUUUAUGAAGACUGCGCUGAACUGGACUGUUCCAUAUCAUCAGAGAGUAGUCCACUGUACAGUAAGUAAAGAUAAUGCAUUGGAGUGAA